rnacentral:rRNA from 1 species
AAAAACAUCGCCCCCAGAUAACAAUUGAGGGGUUUUGCCUGCCCAGUGAUAAGUUUAUUAAACGGCUGCGGUACUCUGACCGUACAAAGGUAGCAUAAUCAUUUGCCUAUUAAUUGUAGGCUAGAAUCAAUGGCUUGACGAGAAGAAAACUGUCUCUCUAUAUGUUAAUCGAAUUUAGUUUUUUGGUGAAGAAACCAAAAUAUUAUAAUGGGACGAGAAGACCCUAUUGAGCUUUAGUUUUAGAAAUAAAUAAUUAUUAAUUAUAAAAUUUUGGUUGGGGCAACUGAUCUUUCAAUAAGACAAGAUCCACUAUAAAGAUUUUAAUCUAAAAUUGACCCAUAAUUUUGUGGAAAGUAGAAAAAGUUACCAUAGGGAUAACAGCGUAAUUUUCUUUGAGAGUACAUAUUGACAAGAAAGUUUGCGACCUCGAUGUUGGAUCAAGAUAUCCUGGAGGUGCAGCCGUUUCCAAAGGUAGGUUUGUUCAACCUAUAAAAUCUUACGUGAUCUGA